rnacentral:rRNA from 1 species
GACGAACGCUGGCGGCGUGCUUAACACAUGCAAGUCGAACGGAAAGGCCCUGCUUUUGUGGGGUGCUCGAGUGGCGAACGGGUGAGUAACACGUGAGUAACCUGCCCUUGACUUUGGGAUAACUUCAGGAAACGGGGGCUAAUACCGGAUAGGAGCUCCUGCUGCAUGGGGGGGGUUGGAAAGUUUCGGCGGUUGGGGAUGGACUCGCGGCUUAUCAGCUUGUUGGUGGGGUAGUGGCUUACCAAGGCGUUGACGGGUAGCCGGCCUGAGAGGGUGACCGGCCACAUUGGGACUGAGAUACGGCCCAGACUCCUACGGGAGGCAGCAGUGGGGAAUAUUGCACAAUGGGCGGAAGCCUGAUGCAGCAACGCCGCGUGCGGGAUGACGGCCUUCGGGUUGUAAACCGCUUUCGCCUGUGACGAAGCGUGAGUGACGGUAAUGGGUAAAGAAGCACCGGCUAACUACGUG